rnacentral:rRNA from 1 species
CCUACGGGAGGCAGCAGUGGGGAAUAUUGCACAAUGGGGGAAACCCUGAUGCAGCGACGCCGCGUGAGUGAAGAAGUAUUUCGGUAUGUAAAGCUCUAUCAGCAGGGGAGAAAUAGCGACCUUUGGGUCGCCAGACGGUACCUGAGUAAGAAGCCCCGGCUAACUACGUGCCAGCGGCGGCGGUAAUACGUAGGGGACAAGCGUUAUCCGGAGUUACUGGGUGUAAAGGGAGCGUAGAGGGCAGCGCAAGUGUGAAGGGAAAUACCGGGGCUUAACCCCGGAACUGCUUGUGAAACUGGGCAGCAAGAGUGCAGGAGAGGGAAGGGGAAUUCCUAGUGUAGCGGUGAAAUGCGUAGAUAUUAGGAGGAACACCAGUGGCGAAGGCGGCUUACUGGACUGUAACUGACGUUGAGGCUCGAAAGCGUGGGGAGCAAACAGGAUUAGAUACCCCGAGUAGUC